rnacentral:rRNA from 1 species
UAUCAAGUUACUAAGGGCGCAAGGCGGAUGCCUUGGCGCUGGGAGCCGAUGAAGGACGCGGCAGGCUGCGAUAAGCCCCGGUUAGGUGCCGAACAACCUUUGACCCGGGGAUUUCCGAAUGGGGGAACCCACGUGCGGUAAUGCGUACGUAUCCUUACCUGAACACAUAGGGUAAGGAAGGUAAGCAGGGGAAGUGAAACAUCUCAGUACCCUGAGGAAGAGAAAGAAAAAUCGAUUCCCUGAGUAGCGGCGAGCGAAACGGGAUCAGCCUAAACCGGUCAUGUGUUACUGCUUGCAGGUUAAGCAUGAUCGGGGUUGUAGGAGUUGUCUUGGUAUCACUGCAAUGGUGCCGGGGAGUUACAAAAACAAUGGUUAGCGGAAGGCCGUGGAAAAGGCCGCCACAGAGGGUAAAAGCCCCGUAUGUUAAAACUGUUGUUCUCCCUUGACAGCCACCUGAGUACGGCGAUACACGUGAAAUUUCGUCGGAAUCUGCGGGGACCACCCCGCAAGGCUAAAUACUACCCAGCGACCGAUAGUGAACUAGUACCGUGAGGGAAAGGUGAAAAGUACCCCGGAAGGGGAGUGAAAUAGUACCUGAAACCUUGCGCCUACAAGCGGUUAGAGCACGGGCUUGCCCGUGUGAUAGCGUGCUUUUUGCAUAACGAUCCAGCGAGUUACUCGUGUCUGGCAAGGUUAAGCGUAAGCGGAGCCGUAGCGAAAGCGAGUCUUAAUAGGGCGAAUGAGUCAGGCGCGGUAGACCCGAAGCCGGGCGAUCUAUCCAUGGGCAGGGUGAAGCGAGGGUAAGACCUCGUGGAGGCCCGAACCCACUCGGGGUGAAAGCCGAGGGGAUGACCUGUGGAUCGGAGUGAAAGGCUAAUCAAGCCCGGGGAUAUCUGGUUCUCUCCGAAACAUAUUUAGGUAUGGCCUCAUGUGUUUAGUUAUGGCUGUAGAGCACUGUUUGGACUAGGGGCCCCACCAGGUUACCGAAUCCAGACAAACUCCGAAGACCAUUACUCCAUAGCAUGGGAGUCAGACUGCGGGGGAUAAGCUUCGUAGUCGAGAGGGUAAGAGCCCAGACCAUCAGCUAAGGCCCCUAAAUACUGGCUAAGUGGAAAAGGAUGUUCGAGUGUCGAGACAACCAGGAGGUUGGCUUAGAAGCAGCCAUUCCUUUAAAGAGUGCGUAACAGCUCACUGGUCAAGUGUUCGUGCGCCGAUAAUUCAACGGGGCUCAAGUCAGUUGCCGAAGCUAUGGAUGCGCAGUUUACUGUGCAUGGUAGGAGAGCAUUCCUUGGCGAUUGAAGCGGCGGCGACAAGCCAGCCGUGGACGCCACGGAAGAGAGAAUGCUGGAAUGAGUAACGAAAGGGAAGCGAGAAACUUCCCCACCGAAUGCCCCAGGUUUCCUGGGCAAUGCUAAUCAGCUCAGGGUAAGUCGGGACCUAAGCCGAGGCCGAAAGGCGUAGACGAUGGACAAUCGGUUGAUAUUCCGAUACCACUACAAUCGUUAUUAUCGAUGGUGUGACGGAGAAGGAUAGGAUGUGCUAGCGAAUGGAAAUGCUAGUCUAAGCGUUUAGGGAGUUAAGGUAGGCAAAUCCGCUUUAACAAUUCUGAGGCGUAAUGGGGAAGGCCUUUUA